GAUGAACGCUAGCUACAGGCUUAACACAUGCAAGUCGAGGGGCAGCAUUUCAGUUUGCUUGCAAACUGGAGAUGGCGACCGGCGCACGGGUGAGUAACACGUAUCCAACCUGCCGAUAACUCGGGGAUAGCCUUUCGAAAGAAAGAUUAAUACCCGAUGGUAUAAUCAGACCGCAUGGUCUUGUUAUUAAAGAAUUUCGGUUAUCGAUGGGGAUGCGUUCCAUUAGGCAGUUGGUGAGGUAACGGCUCACCAAACCUUCGAUGGAUAGGGGUUCUGAGAGGAAGGUCCCCCACAUUGGAACUGAGACACGGUCCAAACUCCUACGGGAGGCAGCAGUGAGGAAUAUUGGUCAAUGGGCGCAGGCCUGAACCAGCCAAGUAGCGUGAAGGAUGACUGCCCUAUGGGUUGUAAACUUCUUUUAUAUGGGAAUAAAGUUUUCCACGUGUGGAAUUUUGUAUGUACCAUAUGAAUAAGGAUCGGCUAACUCCGUGCCAGCAGCCGCGGUAAUACGGAGGAUCCGAGCGUUAUCCGGAUUUAUUGGGUUUAAAGGGAGCGUAGGUGGACAGUUAAGUCAGUUGUGAAAGUUUGCGGCUCAACCGUAAAAUUGCAGUUGAUACUGGCUGUCUUGAGUACAGUAGAGGUGGGCGGAAUUCGUGGUGUAGCGGUGAAAUGCUUAGAUAUCACGAAGAACUCCGAUUGCGAAGGCAGCUCACUGGACUGCAACUGACACUGAUGCUCGAAAGUGUGGGUAUCAAACAGGAUUAGAUACCCUGGUAGUCCACACAGUAAACGAUGAAUACUCGCUGUUUGCGAUAUACAGUAAGCGGCCAAGCGAAAGCAUUAAGUAUUCCACCUGGGGAGUACGCCGGCAACGGUGAAACUCAAAGGAAUUGACGGGGGCCCGCACAAGCGGAGGAACAUGUGGUUUAAUUCGAUGAUACGCGAGGAACCUUACCCGGGCUUAAAUUGCAUUUGAAUAUAUUGGAAACAGUAUAGCCGUAAGGCAAAUGUGAAGGUGCUGCAUGGUUGUCGUCAGCUCGUGCCGUGAGGUGUCGGCUUAAGUGCCAUAACGAGCGCAACCCUUAUCUUUAGUUACUAACAGGUCAUGCUGAGGACUCUAGAGAGACUGCCGUCGUAAGAUGUGAGGAAGGUGGGGAUGACGUCAAAUCAGCACGGCCCUUACGUCCGGGGCUACACACGUGUUACAAUGGGGGGUACAGAAGGCAGCUACCUGGUGACAGGAUGCUAAUCCCAAAAGCCUCUCUCAGUUCGGAUCGAAGUCUGCAACCCGACUUCGUGAAGCUGGAUUCGCUAGUAAUCGCGCAUCAGCCAUGGCGCGGUGAAUACGUUCCUGGGCCU
rnacentral:rRNA from 1 species